rnacentral:rRNA from 1 species
UAGAAGACAUCUGAAGGAGAUUAAAGAUUUAUCGGUGAUGGAUGGGGAUGCGUCUGAUUAGCUUGUUGGCGGGGUAACGGCCCACCAAGGGUACGAUCAGUAGGGGUUCUGAGAGGAAGGUCCCCCACAUUGGAACUGAGACACGGUCCAAACUCCUACGGGAGGCAGCAGUGAGGAAUAUUGGUCAAUGGACGAGAGUCUAAACCAGCCAAGUAGCGUGCAGGAUGACGGCCCUAUGGGUUGUAAACUGCUUUUAUAAGGGAAUAAAGUGAGUCUCGUGAGACUUUUUGCAUGUACCUUAUGAAUAAGGACCGGCUAAUUCCGUGCCAGCAGCCGCGGUAAUACGGAAGGUCCGGGCGUUAUCCGGAUUUAUUGGGUUUAAAGGGAGCGUAGGCCGGAGAUUAAGCGUGUUGUGAAAUGUAGACGCUCAACGUCUGCACUGCAGCGCGAACUGGUUUCCUUGAGUACGCACAAAGUGGGCGGAAUUCGUGGUGUAGCGGUGAAAUGCUUAGAUAUCACGAAGAACUCCGAUUGCGAAGGCAGCUCACUGGAGCGCAACUGACGCUGAAGCUCGAAAGUGCGGGUAUCGAACAGGAUUAGAUACCCUGGUAGUCCGCACGGUAAACGAUGGAUGCCCGCUGUUGGUCUGAAUAGGUCAGCGGCCAAGCGAAAGCAUUAAGCAUCCCACCUGGGGAGUA